rfam:Pseudomonas sp. 5 contig28, whole genome shotgun sequence.
GCCCCGAAAGCUUAAACCCACACACGUGUCGACACGAUGACCUGGGUGCCUUGGAUCUACGGAUCCUGGGUUGGUCAUUGGGAUACGUGGAGGCCCAAC